CUGCUGACUGUCUGGCUUCUCAGAAGGCUGAGUCAAUUGAUUCUACCAAUGCUACUGAUUGUUUGGCUUCUGUUGGGACUGAGACAACUAUGUCCACCCACCCUGCUGACAAUAUGGCUACUGAUGAGCUUGAGCCUACACAUUCCACCAAUGCUGCUUACUUUCUGGCCGCUCUUGAGCCCCAGUCGACUAAUUCCUCCAAUGUUGCUGAUAUUCUGGCUUCUGUUGGGUCUGAGACAACCAUGUCUACCCACCUUGCUGAUAUUCCUAUUGCUCAUGAGCCUGACUAUAAUGAUUCUACCAAUGCUGCUGACAGUCUGGACUCCGUUGAGCCAGAGCCAGCUAUGUCCACCCACCAUGCCGACAGUCUGGCUGCUCUUGAGCAUGAACUGUCUCAUGCCAACAAAGUUGCUGACUGUCUGGCUUCUCUCAAGGCUGAGCCAACCAUGUCCACCCAGCCUGCUGACAGUUCGGCAGCUGUUGAGCCUGAGCCUACAAUUUCCACCAGAGCUGCUGAUUGUCUGGCUACUGUUCUGCUGGAGCUAAUUAGGUCCAUCCACCCUGCUGACUGUCUGGACUCUGUUCAGCCUGAGUCAUCUAUGUCCACACACCCAGCUGAUAAUAUGGCUACUGAUGAGCUUGAGCCUAAAAAUUCGACCAACGCUGUUUACUGUCUGGCUGCUCUUGAGCCUGAGUCGACUAAAUCCUCCAAUGCUGCUGACUGUCUGGCCUAUGUUGAGCCAGAGCCAGAGCCAGGCAUGUCCACCCACCGUGCCGACAGUCUGGCUUCUCUUGAGCAUGAGCUGACUAAUUCCAACAACACUGCUGACUGUCUGGCUUCUCAGAAGGCAGAGUCAAUUGAUUCUACCAAUGCUACUGAUUGUUUGGCUUCUGUUGGGACUGAGACAACUAUGUCCACCCACCCUGCUGACAAUAUGGCUACUGAUGAGCUUGAGCCUACACAUUCCACCAAUGCUGCUUACUGUCUGGCUGCUCUUGAGCCUGAGUCGACUAAAUCCUCCAGUGCUGCUGACUGCCUGGCCUAUGUUGAGCCAGAGCCAGCUAUGUCCACCCACCGUGCCGACAGUCUGGCUGCUCUUGACCAUGAGCUGUCUCAUGCCAACAAAGAUGCUGGCUGUCUGGCUUCUCUCAAGGCUGAGCCAACCAUGUCCACCCAGCCUGCUGACACUUUGGCAUCUGUUGAGCCUGAGCCUACUUUUUCCACCAAAGCUGCUGAUUGUCUGGCUACUGUUCAGCCUGAGCUAACUAAGUCAAACCACCCUGCUGACUGUCUGGAUUCUGUUCAGCCUGAGUCAUCUAUGUCCCCACACCCUGCUGACAGUUUGGUAGCUAUUGAGCCUUCACUGACUAAUUCCACCAAAGCUGCUGACUUUCUGGGUGCUGUUGAUCCCGAGUCAACCAAAUCCACCCACCCUGCUGACAGUAUGGCAGUUGAUGAGCCUGAGCUGCCUAAUUCCAACAUUGCUGCUGACUGUCUGGACGACCUUGAGCCUGAUAAGACUAUUUCUACCAAUGCCGCUGACUGUCAGGCUGCUGUUGGGUCUGAGACAACCAUGUCCACCCAGCCUGCUGACAGUUUGGCAGCUGUUGAGCCUGAGCCGACUAAUUCCACCAAAGCUGCUGACUGUCUGGACUCUGCUGAGCCAGAGCCAACUAUGGCCACCCACCAUGCUGACAUUCUGACUGCUGUUGAGCCUGAACAUACUAAUUGCUCCAGUACUGCUGACUGUCUGCCUGCUGUUCAGCCUGAGUCCAGUAUGUCCACCCACCCUGCUGACAGUAUGGCUGCUAUUGAUGCUGAGCCUACAGAUCCUGCCAUUGUUGCUGACUGUCUGGCUGCUCUUGAACCUCGGCUGUCUGUUACAUGUGCUGCUGACAGUAGUGUGUUAGUUGAGAGUCAUGACUCAGGACCAGCUAGUCACAUUGGAUUGGAUUAUGUUGUUGAUUUACCUCUUUACAAGGAGAGUACAAGUGAAGAAGAAAUAUUUGAUUCUGCUACUUCAGAUGAGGAAUCUUCUUUUACCCCUGACGUAGAAGAAGGUCUGCCUGCUACUCAGGGUGCUGAGGAUAUUUUUCAUGCUUCCGCACGAGCUGAACCAAUAAACCACAGCUUGAACCUUCUCAGGGAGAGUGGAUAUCUUCGGGCAACAGAGAUACCACGCAUACCUUUUUUGCUCUUCAUAUGGCUUAUAUCCUCACUUUUAUCCAUCAUAACAUGGAUGAAAAUCCAAAUUCAACAAGCAUGGCAUGAAGAAAAUGGCCAAGGAGCUCCCACUAACAAGAGAGUCGGACCAGUGGCUGCGGCUCCUGAUCCCUAGACCCUUGAUGCUCCUCCAGAAUCGAUUGGAAUAUCAAAACACAGUCUGUGUGGGAGAAUUGAUCAUAUAUAUAAAUUUUAAAAUAAAAUGUUCAAUCUGAUUGUAGACUG
ensembl:lncRNA